ACUGUUCCAAGUGCUUGAUAAG
rnacentral:miRNA from 13 species